rnacentral:rRNA from 1 species
UACGGGGGGGGCAAGCGUUGUUCGGAAUUACUGGGCGUAAAGGGCCAGUAGGCGGCCAACUAAGUCGGAUGUGAAAAUCCCCAGGCUCAACUUGGGAACUGCAUCCGAUACUGGAUGGCUUGAAUUCGGGAGAGGGAUGCAGAAUUCCAGGUGUAGCGGUGAAAUGCGUAGAUAUCGAGAGGAACACCUGCGGCGAAAGGCGGGUUGCUGGGCCGACACUGACGCUGAUGCGCGAAAGCCAGGGGAGGCGAA